GGCAGUCGAGCGGGAACGAGAAGUAGCUUGCUACUUCGGCGUCGAGCGGCGGACGGGUGAGUAAUGCAUAGGAAGUUGCCCAGUAGAGGGGGAUAACCAUUGGAAACGAUGGCUAAUACCGCAUAACCUCUUCGGAGCAAAGCGGGGGACCUUCGGGCCUCGCGCUACUGGAUACGCCUAUGUGGGAUUAGCUAGUUGGUGAGGUAAUGGCUCACCAAGGCGACGAUCCCUAGCUGGUCUGAGAGGAUGAUCAGCCACACUGGGACUGAGACACGGCCCAGACUCCUACGGGAGGCAGCAGUGGGGAAUAUUGCACAACGGGCGAAAGCCUGAUGCAGCCAUGCCGCGUGUAUGAAGAAGGCCUUCGGGUUGUAAAGUACUUUCAGUUGUGAGGAAGGGUGUGUAGUUAAUAACUGCAUAUUUUGACGUUAGCAACAGAAGAAGCACCGGCUAACUCCGUGCCAGCAGCCGCGGUAAUACGGAGGGUGCGAGCGUUAAUCGGAAUUACUGGGCGUAAAGCGCAUGCAGGUGGUUUGUCAAGUCAGAUGUGAAAGCCCGGGGCUCAACCUCGGAAGGUCAUUUGAAACUGGCAAACUAGAGUACUGUAGAGGGGGGUAGAAUUUCAGGUGUAGCGGUGAAAUGCGUAGAGAUCUGAAGGAAUACCAGUGGCGAAGGCGGCCCCCUGGACAGAUACUGACACUCAGAUGCGAAAGCGUGGGGAGCAAACAGGAUUAGAUACCCUGGUAGUCCACGCCGUANACGAUGUCUACUUGGAGGUUGUGGCCUUGAGCCGUGGCUUUCGGAGCUAACGCGUUAAGUAGACCGCCUGGGGAGUACGGUCGCAAGAUUAANACUCAAAUGAAUUGACGGGGGCCCGCACAAGCGGUGGAGCAUGUGGUUUAAUUCGAUGCAACGCGAAGAACCUUACCUACUCUUGACAUCCAGAGAACUU
rnacentral:rRNA from 1 species